rnacentral:rRNA from 1 species
UACGUAGGGUGCGAGCGUCAAUCGGAAUUACUGGGCGUAAAGCGUGCGCAGGCGGUUUUUUAAGACAGGCGUGAAAUCCCCGGGCUUAACCUGGGAACUGCGCUUGUGACUGGAAGGCUAGAGUACGGCAGAGGGGGGUGGAAUUCCACGUGUAGCAGUGAAAUGCGUAGAGAUGUGGAGGAACACCGAUGGCGAAGGCAGCCCCCUGGGCCGAUACUGACGCUCAUGCACGAAAGCGUGGGGAGCAAACAGG